rnacentral:rRNA from 1 species
UACAGAGGUCCCAAGCGUUGUUCGGAUUUACUGGGCGUAAAGGGUGCGUAGGCGGUCGAGUAAGUCUGACGUGAAAUCUCCGGGCCUAACCCGGAAACUGCGUUGGAAACUACUAGGCUAGAGGAAUGGAGGGGAGACUGGAAUACUUGGUGUAGCAGUGAAAUGCGUAGAUAUCAAGUGGAACACCAGUGGCGAAGGCGAGUCUCUGGACAUUUCCUGACGCUGAGGCACGAAAGCCAGGGGAGCAAACGGG